rnacentral:rRNA from 1 species
AGUUCCUACGGGGGGCAGCAGUGGGGAAUAUUGGGCAAUGGGCGCAAGCCUGACCCAGCGACGCCGCGUGAGGAAAGACGGUCUUCGGAUUGUAAACCUCUUUCAGCAGGGAAGACAAAAGGACGGUACCUGCAGAAGAAGCCACGGCUAACUACGUGCCAGCAGCCGCGGUAAUACGUAGGUGGCAAGCGUUAUCCGGAAUUACUGGGUGUAAAGGGUGUGUAGGCGGGGCUGCAAGGCAGAUGUGAAAAUUAUGGGGUCAAACCAUAACCUGC